GAGGAUAUAGCUCAGUGGUAGAGCACAUGCUUAGCAUGCACAAGGUCCUGGGUUCAAUUCCCAGUACCUCCA
rnacentral:tRNA from 1 species